GCACGAGGAGCCACGUCGCUUCCUCGUUAGCACCUCUUCGCAACCGACCUCGCAUCCGCUGGCCCUACUCCCAUUGUUUUUUCAAACUUUCUUACCGGUUUCGACCGUUGGAUCGGUUUUGGGUCGCGUCUGUCCCGAAGAAGUCUAUAAAUAGACCUCUUCAGAUUAGACAGGAUAUAUAAUUUGAAAACAGAGAACUUCUAUUCUCCCUGUUUGCUAUUUUUCUUUCAAUCAACGGGCUUGCUGCAUACUGAUUCUGGGUUCGAAGGCUUCUUUGAUCCGUGCAAAUCAUUGAGGCAGAAGGAACAGUGCGAGAGGCUGUUGUAUCUCAAGAGUAGAACGCCAUCUAAGCCUAGUGCACUGUAAGGCGGCGAAAUCUACUUCAAGGAAAGUGACCAACAUACCACGCCUCUGCAUCUCGGGUUCCAUUUUUCCACCUUUUCUAUUUAUUUUCUCUAAGCCUAUUUCUGCCUAUUAUUUGUUGAAGUAGAGUAUUAUAGAUUUAAAAU
rnacentral:lncRNA from 1 species